rnacentral:rRNA from 1 species
GACGAACGCUGGCGGCGUGCCUAAUACAUGCAAGUUGAGCGCUGAAGGUUGGUACUUGUACCAACUGGAUGAGCAGCGAACGGGUGAGUAGCGCGUGGGGAAUCUGCCUUUGAGCGGGGGACAACAUUUGGAAACGAAUGCUAAUACCGCAUAAAAACUUUAAACACAAGUUUUAAGUUUGAAAGAUGCAAUUGCAUCACUCAAAGAUGAUCCCGCGUUGUAUUAGCUAGUUGGUGAGGUAAAGGCUCACCAAGGCGAUGAUACAUAGCCGACCUGAGAGGGUGAUCGGCCACAUUGGGACUGAGACACGGCCCAAACUCCUACGGGAGGCAGCAGUAGGGAAUCUUCGGCAAUGGACGAAAGUCUGACCGAGCAACGCCGCGUGAGUGAAGAGGGUUUUCGGAUCGUAAAACUCUGUUGGUAGAGAAGAACGUUGGUGAGAGUGGAAAGCUCAUCAAGUGACGGUAACUACCCAGAAAGGAACGGCUAACUACGUG